UACGAAGGGGGCUAGCGUUGCUCGGAAUCACUGGGCGUAAAGCGCACGUAGGCGGAUUGUUAAGUCAGGGGUGAAAUCCUGGAGCUCAACUCCAGAACUGCCUUUGAUACUGGCGAUCUCGAGUCCGGGAGAGGUGAGUGGAACUGCGAGUGUAGAGGUGAAAUUCGUAGAUAUUCGCAAGAACACCAGUGGCGAAGGCGGACUCACUG
rnacentral:rRNA from 1 species